rnacentral:rRNA from 1 species
GCAGCCAUCAUUUAAAGAAAGCGUAAUAGCUCACUGGUCGAGUCGGCCUGCGCGGAAGAUGUAACGGGGCUAAACCAUGCACCGAAGCUGCGGCAGCGACGCUGAUGCGUUGUUGGGUAGGGGAGCGUUCUGUAAGCCUGCGAAGGUGACCUGUGAGGGUUGCUGGAGGUAUCAGAAGUGCGAAUGCUGACAUAAGUAACGAUAAAGCGGGUGAAAAGCCCGCUCGCCGGAAGACCAAGGGUUCCUGUCCAACGUUAAU